CACGAACGCUGGCGGCAGGCUUAACACAUGCAAGUCGAGCGCCCCGCAAGGGGAGCGGCAGACGGGUGAGUAACGCGUGGGAAUCUACCCAUCUCUACGGAAUAACGCAUGGAAACGUGUGCUAAUACCGUAUACGUCCUUCGGGAGAAAGAUUUAUCGGAGAUGGAAGAGCCCGCGUUGGAUUAGCUAGUUGGUGGGGUAAAGGCCUACCAAGGCGACGAUCCAUAGCUGGUCUGAGAGGAUGAUCAGCCACACUGGGACUGAGACACGGCCCAGACUCCUACGGGAGGCAGCAGUGGGGAAUAUUGGACAAUGGGCGUAAGCCUGAUCCAGCCAUGCCGCGUGAGUGAUGAAGGCCCUAGGGUUGUAAAGCUCUUUCACUGGUGAAGAUAAUGACGGUAACCGGAGAAGAAGCCCCGGCUAACUUCGUGCCAGCCGCCGCCGUAACAC
rnacentral:rRNA from 1 species